GCAGCGGUAAAUAAUAUCACGUAAUGCAUACACAAUGUAGAAAACAAGAAUGCACAGGCCUUUUUAAAUAAACAGAUAUGUAUUUCUUUGAGCUCAUUAGCAUCUGGCUGCCAUAUAAUGUAAACAUAGCCAGGGGAGGUUAAGGAGCAACAGAUAAAAGAGACACUGCAGAAGAUAAACAAAUAGCUAUGUGCAGAAAUACUCAUUUAACUGCAUGUUUCUAUAGAAAAUAAACAUUAGCAGGUUACUGUAACAUUAGUCUUCAUAGUGCAAAUGCAAAUGAUGUUAGGUCCGAUAGCAUGAUUAUAUAAUAUAGGCCUUAUGUUUAUAUGAACAGUGUAUACAUCAACACACCAUUAGACAAAUCAAUGCAUCCGCAUCAGGAUUUUGUUCUGAUUACACGUCCACAUUUCACACACUUAAUGUAUCAAAAUGUUACAUCUUUGUACAAGCCGUUAGCACACGGUCAGUUCUGUUGUCAUACAGAAAUGAUUACCAAUGAAACAUGUUACAUUACUGCUGCUUUUGGAAAAGUGUGAUUAAUAUUUCAGGACAUGGCUAUGCUAGUUAAGGUUGUCACGCACAGAUAUUUUUUGCUUCCAACCCUACAUGGUAUGCUUUAAACUAAAAGUACAAGUUACAUUUAAAAAAAAAAUAAAAUAAAAUCCCCCAUCUCCGCUAUCUCAGGAAGAAGUUUCAACUUUCCAAUCUUAAUGCAUGUGAGGGUUAUGUGCAAUGUAGAUCUGCUAAUGUAAUGUUAAGUGCCCAUGUAUCAGCCAAAACAUCCGUAUCGGACAUUUACUGUUCUCAGUGUUGUAAUGUUUAUAUGUUGCCAGUGCUGGCUAAAGACAGUGUGAUGAAGAGCUGAAAGACUUUAAAACAGUUCACCUACUUUUUUCAUAUUCAAGAUCUCUUUGUUUCCCUGGCACAAAUUGGGGAAUUUUUUUCUUUUUUUAAAAAGCAACUAAAACAUAAUAAACAUCAGUAUCACUGUUGAUCCAGAAUUUCACAGUACACUCAUCGGUAAAUCCCUAAUUACUUAAUAUUUAAUGCCACUCUUUACAUCUAUUUUAUCCCGCUGUAAAAUCAUAACACAAUUCUAGCCAACAGCAACGUUGGCAGGUCUGUAAUGUGCCUCCACAAUGAGCUCAGUUUUCACAAGCAUUUGGUCACAAUCUUUUUCAAUUAAAACACAUUAAUGGGCUGAUAACCCUCAAACAAGUUAUAUAAGGCACUGCAACAGUCAUUCAACACAACACACAUUUUAUACCUGUUUCAAAGGGAGUAAAGUGAUGUAGUGUAGGUCCUUGUUUUAGCAUGAGUGUAGUGUGAAAAUAAAAAAAUAAAUAAUUAGAGUGAUCUUGCACAGGCACCACUGUGAAAACAAUAAUAAUAAUAAUAAUAAAGCAGGAACACAGACGGUUCCUCUUACUUGUGAACUACAACAACAAGCUGACAAUAAAAUGUGUUCUUUCUCUCUGUUGAGACAACAAAAAGAACUUGACUGUCUAUACCACAAAAUACUAAAAACACAUUUGCUUUUACUAUUUUGUGUAAAUAUAAUUUUUUAAGCUUCGAGCACUGAAUUAUCUUCUUU
ensembl:lncRNA